GGUGACCCUCAAGAGGAUAAGACUGACAUCUUUGACUUUCCCAUCCCUUCAAGAAACAUUGAUAAAACCAUUAAACGAAAGAAGAAAAAGUGCAAAGUCUGGCACAAGGUCUGGAAAGUGAUUUCAAAAAUGCUUGAGGAAAAUGAAAGGCUCAGAAGUCGACUGUUGAUCUGCAGCCAGUUAGAUGGAGGAGGUAGGAAAUGAAAUGCUAAUAUUUUAUUU
rnacentral:lncRNA from 1 species